AGGUCAUGAUGUGAACACUUGCGCAAUACAUCCUUCUAUCUCUCCCAUGCCUCAUAUAAUGAUUUACCCUCAAAAUAGGUGAAGGUAGUGAUAUCAUUCCUUAAUUU